GCCGCCUCACGCCGCGCGCGGACCCUUUCCGAAGCGCCAGGCGGCUUCGCGCGCCCCGCGCCGCCCAGUGCCUCAGCCACAAAAUGGCGGCGCUGCCGCGACGGCUUCUUCUCCGUGUCAGUUUCGCCACCUGUCUCCGCGGUACCGCCCCGCUUAGCGGCCGUCUCUGCCCCUCCGGCUCUAUCAUAACAGAGAAAAUGGACACUUCUUCUGGAUCUGGUCUCGGCAAACACUUGAAAGCUGUUGCCUGUUGAUGUUGCACUCUUCUCCGUGCAGAUCUUGACACACAAGAAAUGCUGUUCGCUCUUCAUCAAACCCCAAGCUGCUUAAUAAGGAACAAAUUCAAUGUAUUCCAAGCACAAGGCAAUCUAGUUUACCAAUGAUCUUAAUAAAGUCUAGUCAGCAAUAGAACCUAGUAGUCACAAGUGAUUUUCCUUGAGUGUCCUGAUGAGGGAAUGCUGUUCAGUUAUCUGGAUUCCAGCAAACAACUGGCAUACAUGCUGCAGACAGAAAGGGAGAGUGAGGGAGAGGUCUUUAAUUAUUUUCAAGUCAGCAAAGAUCAGCGUGUUGAAUCAAAACAGAUGGAGUGUAUAAUUCACUGGCAAUAUCAUGAUUG